rnacentral:rRNA from 1 species
CAAUAGCGUAUAUUUAAGUUGUUGCAGUUAAAAAGCUCGUAGUCGGAUUUUGGCUGAGAACGAACGGUCCGCCGUUAGGUGUGCACUGUUUGGUCUCAGCUUCCUGGUGAGGAGGUGUGCUUCACGGCCACUUAGUCACCGUGGUUACUUUGAAAAAAUUAGAGUGUUCAAAGCGGGCUUACGCUUGAAUAUAUUAGCAUGGAAUAACACCAUAGGACUCCUGUCCUAUUUCGUUGGUCUCGGGACGGGAGUAAUGAUUAAGAGGAACAGUUGGGGGCAUUCGUAUUUCAUUGUCAGAGGUGAAAUUCUUAGAUUUAUGAAAGACGAACUUCUGCGAAAGCAUUUGCCAAGGAUGUUUUCAUUGA